rnacentral:rRNA from 1 species
AUUGAACGCUGUCGGCAGGCUUAACACAUGCAAGUCGAGCGAGCGGCGGACGGGUGAGUAAUGUCUGGGAAACUGCCUGAUGGAGGGGGAUAACUUCUGCAAACGGUAUCUAAUACCGCAUACCAUCAGUUGUGCCCAUAUGGGAUUAGCUAGUAGGUGGGGUAAUGGCCUACCUAGGCGACGAUACCUAGCUGGUCUGAGAGGCUGACGAGCCACACUGGAACGGAGACACGGGCCAGACUCCUACGGGAGCCAGCAGUGGGGAAUAUUGCACAAUGGGUGCAGGCAUGAUGCAGCCAUGCCGCGUGUGUGAAGAAGGCCUUCGGGUUGUAAAGAACUUUCAGCGAGGAGGCGUUACUCGCAGAAGAAGCACCGGCUAACCCCGUGCCAGCAGCCGCGGUAAUAC